rnacentral:rRNA from 1 species
UACGGAGGGAGCGAGCGUUGUUCGGAAUUACUGGGCGUAAAGCGCACGUAGGCGGCUUUGUAAGUUAGAGGUGAAAGCCCGGGGCUCAACUCCGGAACUGCCUUUAAGACUGCAUCGCUUGAAUCCAGGAGAGGUGAGUGGAAUUCCGAGUGUAGAGGUGAAAUUCGUAGAUAUUCGCAAGAACACCAGUGGCGAAGGCGGCUCACUGGCCCGGUACUGACGCUGAGGCACGAAAGCGUGGGGAGCAAACCGG